rnacentral:lncRNA from 1 species
CUUAUCCCCACUGCUACCAGGUUUAACGUUAUCAAUUGGCAAAUCAAGCCAUUUAAACUGUACUUUGAAAAUGAUUGAAAUAUAUGAAAUAAUUCACUAAAAAAUCUUGAUAAAACUAGGGGGGUGGGGGGGGGGGGGGGGGGGGUGGGGGGUUCUCAACACUCGCAGGUGCGUGUAGCUCACAGCUUGAUGAUAUGAGGGAAAGUAAAUGUGUUUUAUAAAUCACAAGUCUACUACCAAUAAUUAUGCACACUUUUUAGAAUUUCGUAAAUUUUUCGUUUUUGUACCUUUUCGCAUGGACUGGCUCAUAUAUAAUACCAUAAU